CAAAUCAAAGUAUAGGAGGUCUUGCCUGCCCAGUGACAAGUUAAACGGCCGCGGUAUUUUGACCGUGCAAAGGUAGCGCAAUCACUUGUCUUUUAAAUGAAGACCUGUAUGAAUGGUAGAACGAGGGCUUAACUGUCUCCCCUCUCAAGUCAAUGAAAUUGAUCUGCCCGUGCAGAAGCGGACAUAAAAAUACAAGACGAGAAGACCCUUUGGAGCUUAAAACAUAAGGUCAACUAUGUCAAUGCAUCAAAAAUAAAAUCAAACUAAAUAGAGUCUGACCCUAGUUUUCGGUUGGGGCGACCACGGAAGAAAAUAAAGCUUCCAUGAGGAUUGGGACCACAUGGCCCUAAAACCAAGAAAGACAUUUCCAAGUAACAGAAUAUCUGACCACUCAGAUCCGGUGCUUAACCGAUCAACGGACCAAGUUACCCUAGGGAUAACAGCGCAAUCCCCUUUAAGAGUCCAUAUCGACAAGGGGGUUUACGACCUCGAUGUUGGAUCAGGACAUCCUAAUGGUGCAGCCGCUAUUAAGGGUUCGUUUGUUCAACGAUUAAAGUCCU
rnacentral:rRNA from 1 species